UGGUUGAUAUUCCAGUACCACUACCAUCGUUAUUAUCGAUGGCGUGACGCAGGAGGAUAGUGUGUGCUAGCUAUUGGAUGCUAGUCUAAGCGUUUAGGCAGUGAGAGUAGGCAAAUCCGCUCUCAUAAUGCUGAGGCGUGAUGGGGAAGGUUCUACGGAACCGAAGUACAUGAUUCCACGCUGCCAAGAAAAGCGUCUAGAGAGAGAAGUAGUGCCCGUACCGCAAACCGACACAGGUAGGUGAGGAGAGAAUCCUAAGGCCGGCGGAAGAAUUACAGUUAAGGAACUCGGCAAAUUGACCCCGUAAGUUCGCGAGAAGGGGUGCCUACGAGAGUAGGCCGCAGAGAAUAGGCCCAAGCAACUGUUUAGCAAAAACACAGGUCUCUGCUAAAGCGUAAGCUGAUGUAUAGGGGCUGACGCCUGCCCGGUGCUGGAAGGUUAAGGGGAACACUUAGCGCAAGCGAAGGUGUGAACUUAAGCCCCAGUAAACGGCGGCCGUAACUAUAACGGUCCUAAGGUAGCGAAAUUCCUUGUCAGGUAAGUUCUGACCCGCACGAAUGGCGUAAUGACUUGGGCACUGUCUCAACUGUAAAUCCGGCGAAGUUGUAGUGCGAGUGAAGAUGCUCGCUACCCGCGAUUGGACGGAAAGACCCCGUAGAGCUUUACUGUAGCUUAGCAUUGAGUUUUGGUAUUGUCUGUACAGGAUAGGUGGGAGACUAGGAAACCAGGGCGUCAGCCUUGGUGGAGUCAACCUUGGGAUACCACCCUGACAGUACUGAAAUUCUAACUGGCGGCCAUGAAUCUGGUCACAGGACAUUGUUAGGUGGGCAGUUUGACUGGGGCGGUCGCCUCCUAAAAAGUAACGGAGGCGCCCAAAGGUUCCCUCAGAACGGUCGGAAAUCGUUCGAAGAGUGCAAAGGCAGAAGGGAGCCUGACUGCGACACCCACAAGUGGAGCAGGGACGAAAGUCGGGCUUAGUGAUCCGGUGGUACCUCGUGGGAGGGCCAUCGCUCAACGGAUAAAAGCUACCUCGGGGAUAACAGGCUGAUCUCCCCCAAGAGUCCACAUCGACGGGGAGGUUUGGCACCUCGAUGUCGGCUCGUCGCAUCCUGGGGCUGAAGUAGGUCCCAAGGGUUGGGCUGUUCGCCCAUUAAAGCGGCACGCGAGCUGGGUUCAGAACGUCGUGAGACAGUUCGGUCCCUAUCCGUCGCGGGCGUAGGAAAUUUGAGAGGAGCUGUCCUUAGUACGAGAGGACCGGGAUGGACUGACCUCUGGUGUACCAGUUGUUCCGCCAGGAGCACAGCUGGGUAGCUAAGUCGGGAAUGGAUAAACGCUGAAAGCAUCUAAGCGUGAAGCCAACCUCAAGAUGAGAUUUCCCAUAGCAUAAGCUAGUAAGAUCCCUUGAAGAACACAAGGUUGAUAGGUCGGGGGUGUAAGCAUGGUAACAUGUUCAGCUGACCGAUACUAAUAGAUCGAGGGCUUGACCAA
rnacentral:rRNA from 1 species